UCAGGAAUGAACGCUAGCUACAGGCUUAACACAUGCAAGUCGAGGGGCAUCAUGGAGUUGCUUGCAAACUCUGAUGGCGACCGGCGCACGGGUGAGUAACGCGUAUCCAACCUUCCCUAUAGUAGAGGAUAGCCCGGCGAAAGUCGGAUUAAUACUCUAUGUUUUCCGUUGCAGACAUCUAAGAUGGAACAAAGGUUUGCCGCUAUAGGAUGGGGAUGCGUCUGAUUAGGUAGUCGGCGGGGUAACGGCCCACCGAGCCAUCGAUCAGUAGGGGUUCUGAGAGGAAGGUCCCCCACAUUGGAACUGAGACACGGUCCAAGCUCCUACGGGAGGCAGCAGUGAGGAAUAUUGGUCAAUGGGCGAGAGCCUGAACCAGCCAAGUAGCGUGCAGGAUGACGGCCCUAUGGGUUGUAAACUGCUUUUAUGCGGGGAUAAAGUUCGCUACGUGUAGUGUUUUGUAGGUACCGCAUGAAUAAGGACCGGCUAAUUCCGUGCCAGCCGCCGC
rnacentral:rRNA from 1 species